UACAGAGGUCCCGAGCGUUGUUCGGAUUUACUGGGCGUAAAGGGCGCGUAGGCGGCCACCGCAAGUCAAUUGUGAAAUCUCCGGGCUUAACUCGGAAAGGUCAACUGAUACUGCGGGGCUAGAGUGCGGAAGGGGCAACUGGAAUUCUCGGUGUAGCGGUGAAAUGCGUAGAUAUCGAGAGGAACACCUGCGGCGAAGGCGGGUUGCUGGGCCGACACUGACGCUGAGGCGCGAAAGCCAGGGGAGCGAACGGG
rnacentral:rRNA from 1 species